UCUGGGGAGGGAGACGAGAAUCCUGAAGAUUUGGCAAUUGAGAUCCUCGUUUCCUCCUUACACCUGUAAAGGCAUCAACCAUCUUAUCUACCGUGAAAUGAUAAAUGAAGAAGUUGCUUCCGGAACAAAACCUUUAAUCUUACUGUGCACUCUCUUGUAUUGUGUCCAAAAGAUUUUCUAUAUAGGCUCUUUAUCAGAGUGAUUACUGAUAAUGUGCUUGACUCAAUACAAGAUGCUCUGGCUGACGAGCGAAUUUCAAUGGACUCAUCCUGUUGAGAGAAUGAUUCCAGAGACUGUUUUAUUGCCUUUUCAGCUCUAUAUUCUUUUGAGAGAAUACAGAUGAGCAACAGUUACCUCAAGUUUGAAAACACCUUUUCUUCUUGAGAGGUAGAGCUGUGGGUACACUAUCCCUCACAUCCUUAUUUGCUGCAACAAGUACAGUUUCUCCCUCAUUGACCUCUAGUCUAAUAAGUUCCUUAUUACUCCAUGGGGAAAGUUGGGAUGUGUUCUGAAUUUGGUUUUGUAGUCUGGGAUAAAGAUUGUUGGUUUUUCAACCUUAUGACUAUCUAGGAAAGCCAAGAGGCUGAUUAAGUUCCAAAGAACAGAAAGAGAUAUAAAUGCAUUUUAGAAAAUCUAUGAUUUUGAAUGAAAGCAAUUGCAUUUAAUCUUUUGAGGAAAAAUGAAUCAGUUGUGACUGUAAAUUGAUUUUCAUAAAGAAUGACAACCACAACCAAUGAAAGAAUCAAAGUUUUCCCUUAAAAACUAGUUUGAGUACGAGAGUCUGAAUCUAUGCAUAAAAGGUUUAAAUAAACUUGUCUUUGAAAAAGACACAGACUCUUGUUUCUCACUACAAUUUAAAAAGGAAACAAGAAAAUUU
rnacentral:lncRNA from 1 species